GUGUUGUAUGGAGGGAGAGAAGAUUAGCAUUCCCCUCGAUGGAGAAAGAAGAUAUCCUAGUGGCCUUCACAACACACAUACAGCUAGGAUAUUGCCAUUGUGGGUAGAAAGCUAAAGUAAUUC